GACGAACGCUGGCGGCGUGCCUAAUACAUGCAAGUCGAGCGGACUUUCAAGAAGCUUGCUUUUUGAAAGUUAGCGGCGGACGGGUGAGUAACACGUGGGCAACCUGCCUGUAAGACGGGGAUAACUCCGGGAAACCGGGGCUAAUACCGGAUAAUAUCUUUCUUCGCAUGAAGGAAGGUUGAAAGGCGGCGCAAGCUGCCGCUUGCAGAUGGGCCCGCGGCGCAUUAGCUAGUUGGGGAGGUAACGGCUCACCAAGGCGACGAUGCGUAGCCGACCUGGGAGGGUGAGCGGCCACACUGGGACUGAGACACGGCCCAGACUCCUACGGGAGGCAGCAGUAGGGAAUCUUCCGCAAUGGACGAAAGUCUGACGGAGCAACGCCGCGUGAGCGGAGAAGGUCUUCGGAUCGUAAAGCUCUGUUGUCAGGGAAGAACAAGUACCGUUCGAAUAGGGCGGUACCUUGACGGUACCUGACCAGAAAGCCACGGCUAACUACGUGCCAGCCGCCGCCGUAA
rnacentral:rRNA from 1 species